rnacentral:lncRNA from 1 species
AGUGUGCAGGUGACUACAAAUCGUCUUCCGCAAGAUGACUUAUGGGUAUAUUUCUCUAUUUCUCUCCUUUUUGUUUUUUUCAUUGUUACUGUAUUUGUGUUUUAUGUAUGUGGAUAUAUUAUGCAAUGAUAUCUGCUGGUUAUGUAUCUUGAUGGUCUUAUUUUCGCAAGUUAAAUUGCAUGUUUGUUAUGUUUAUUUGUACUCUCAAGUUUAUUUUUUCACACAUUGAUAUGGGCCAUUGUUUCCUUCAGCUCCAGUUUUUUUCAACUUUUUAUUUCCUCUUGAGCAGAUAUCCUUGAAAAUGCUAAUGGGGAUGCCAUUCAAAAAAGUACCUUGAUUUCGGCAGUGUGUUUGGGUAUAUUUCUUUACAACCUCCUUGAAGUGCCCUGAAACAUGUGUUUUUGUAAUUACUAUGCUUAUAGGAUUGGUUUGUUUUAUUGAUAAUUAUGUUUUUGCUUAUAGGAGUUGGUUCCAUGCAGCACUUGCUACUUGUCAUUUAACUCUGCUUUUAUUUUGUUGUUUCUGUCUGUUUCAUGUAUACUAGAGUAUUGUUCUCGUUUGUAAAACAAUCGAAUUAAUUCAGCUAUACAUCAGCUAUACAGGGC